rnacentral:tRNA from 1 species
GCCGAUGUAGCUCAGUAGAUAGAGCAACUGUUUCGUAAUCAGUAGGUCGCGAGUUUGAUU